rnacentral:rRNA from 1 species
GACAGAGGGUGCAAACGUUGCUCGGAAUCACUGGGCGUAAAGGGCGUGUAGGCGGGUAUGUAAGUCCGGCGUGAAAUCCCUAGGCUCAACCUAGGAACUGCACUCGAAACUGCGUUUCUUGAGUAUCGGAGAGGAAAGCGGAAUACCUGGUGUAGAGGUGAAAUUCGUAGAUAUCAGGUGGAACACCAGUGGCGAAGGCGGCUUUCUGGACGAUAACUGACGCUGAGACGCGAAAGCGUGGGGAGCAAACAGG